AGUUGGCGGGGUAACGGCCCACCAAGGCGACGAUGACUAGGGGAUCUGAGAGGAUGACCCCACACACUGGUACUGAGACACGGACCAGACUCCUACGGGAGGCAGCAGUAAGGAAUAUUGGUCAAUGGAGGCAACUCUGAACCAGCCAUGCCGCGUGCAGGAAGACAGCCCUCUGGGUCGUAAACUGCUCUUAUUCGGGAAUAAACCACAUUACGUGUAAUGUGCUGAAUGUACCGAAGGAAUAAGGAUCGGCUAACUCCGUGCCAGCAGCCGCGGUAAUACGGAGGAUCCAAGCGUUAUCCGGAUUUAUUGGGUUUAAAGGGUGCGUAGGCGGCUUAUUAAGUCAGGGGUGAAGGACGGUGGCUCAACCAUCGCAGUGCCUUUGAUACUGAUGAGCUUGAAUACACUAGAGGUAGGCGGAAUGUGACAAGUAGCGGUGAAAUGCAUAGAUAUGUCACAGAACACCGAUUGCGAAGGCAGCUUACUAUGGUGUGAUUGACGCUGAGGCACGAAAGCGUGGGGAUCAAACAGGAUUAGAUACCCUGGUAGUCCACGCCCUAAACGAUGAAUACUCGCUGUUAGCGAUAUACAGUUAGCGGCUAAGCGAAAGCGUUAAGUAUUCCACCUGGGGAGUACGCCCGCAAGGGUGAAACUCAAGGGAAUUGACGGGGGCCCGCACAAGCGGAGGAGCAUGUGGUUUAAUUCGAUGAUACGCGAGGAACCUUACCCGGGCUUGAAAGUUAGUGAAUCAUUUAGAGAUAGAUGAGUCCGCAAGGACACGAAACUAGGUGCUGCAUGGCUGUCGUCAGCUCGUGCCGUGAGGUGUUGGGUUAAGUCCCGCAACGAGCGCAACCCCUAUGUUUAGUUGCCAGCACGUUAUGGUGGGGACUCUAAACAGACUGCCUGUGCAAACAGAGAGGAAGGAGGGGACGACGUCAAGUCAUCAUGGCCCUUACGUCCGGGGCUACACACGUGCUACAAUGGAUGGUACAGAGGGCAGCAAGCUGGCAACAGCAAGCGGAUCUCAAAAAGCCAUUCACAGUUCGGAUAGAGGUCUGCAACUCGACCUCUUGAAGUUGGAUUCGCUAGUAAUCGCGUAUCAGCAAUGACGCGGUGAAUACGUUCCCGGGCCUUGUACACACCGCCCGUCAAGCCAUGGAAGUUGGGGGUACCUAAAGUAUGUAACCGCAAGGAGCGUCCUAGGGUAAAACCGAUAACUGGGGCUAAGUCGUAACAAGGUA
rnacentral:rRNA from 1 species